rnacentral:rRNA from 1 species
AUUGAACGCUGGCGGCAUGCCUUACACAUGCAAGUCGAACGGCAGCGCGGACUUCGGUCUGGCGGCGAGUGGCGAACGGGUGAGUAAUUCGUCGGAACGUACCCUGUUGUGGGGGAUAACUAGUCGAAAGAUUAGCUAAUACUGCAUACGACCUGAGGGUGAAAGUGGGGGACCGCAAGGCCUCACGCAGCAGGAGCGGCCGAUGUCUGAUUAGCUAGUUGGUGGGGUAAAGGCCCACCAAGGCGACGAUCAGUAGCUGGUCUGAGAGGACGAUCAGCCACACUGGGACUGAGACACGGCCCAGACUCCUACGGGAGGCAGCAGUGGGGAAUUUUGGACAAUGGGGGCAACCCUGAUCCAGCAAUGCCGCGUGUGUGAAGAAGGCCUUCGGGUUGUAAAGCACUUUUGUCCGGAAAGAAAUCGCGCUGGUUAAUACCUGGCGUGGAUGACGGUACCGGAAGAAUAAGCACCGGCUAACUACGUGCCAGCAGCCGCCGUAA